UGGGGAAUAUUGGACAAUGGAGGAAACUCUGAUCCAGCAAUUCUGUGUGUGUGAAGAAGGUUUUAGGACUGUAAAACACUUUUAGUAGGGAAGAAAAAAAUGACGGUACCUACAGAAGAAGCAACGGCUAAAUACGUGCCAGCAGCCGCGGUAAUACGUAUGUUGCGAGCGUUAUCCGGAAUUAUUGGGCUUAAAGGGCAUCUAGGCGGUAAGACAAGUUGAAGGUGAAAACCUGUGGCUCAACCAUAGGCUUGCCUACAAAACUGUUGAACUAGAGUACUGGAAAGGUGGGUGGAUCUACACGAGUAGAGGUGAAAUUCGUAGAUAUGUGUAGGAAUGCCGAUGAUGAAGAUAACUCACUGGACAGAAACUGACGCUGAAGUGCGAAAGCUAGGGGAGCAAACAGG
rnacentral:rRNA from 1 species